UUUUUUAAAACCAAGGCUGCUUGGGCGCAUGCGUACUACUUUUUCAGCCGCUGGCUAUGGACCGUACAGCCAGAACAGUUUAAGGACAGUUUUGUGCCCAAGUGCAAAUGCCUGUUUGAAAGAUCUCAUGCUGGAGAAAUUAGAAAUUGUUUUUGAUGAUCAACCCAUCACUGGAGGAUCUGGAAAACUAUCUAUUUUAUCCAGUCUUAACCAGCUCAUCUGAGAACAUGCUAAUGAAUAUCAUAUAGUUAAAAGCAUAACCAAAACAGAUGUGAUCCUGCUGCCCAUUAUUUCUAAGCAAAGAAGUUGAACACAGUAAGUAUAUAGGUGUCACCAACUGUCAUGAUACCUUUGAACUCAAGGAAGAGAUGAAUGCUAAAUGAGUACAUAAACCAAAUCCAAGGUUCAUCACUGAAAGAAAAGGUUUAGUUUGGACAUUACUCUGCCAGACUUUUCUGCAACAAUUGAGACAACAGAGCAGUGUUUCAGUUUUUUUAAAAUGACUGUCUCUUUUUUAGCUGAAAGAAAUGUUUACAUAAAAAGAAACAAAAUAUAAAGGAAACUCACAAGUGUUUCAAUUGCUUCAUGAGUCCUCUCAACUUUCAAAUCUCAAUUGUCAUAGCUUUUAACAUAUCAGUCAGUGGUAUAAUUGUCAAUGCCCCACUUUCUACUUCUUCAAACAUGACUGUUAGGCAGUUUUUAUUUAUAGCAGCUAUUCCCAUCUAAGCAGCCUCUAGAAGGUUCAGAUUAUAGUCCCCAACAUUCUGAAUACCUGAUGGCAUAGCCCAGUCUAUUUUAUCUUAGUGAUGUUUAGCAAUGGAUCAUGUUAAUAAGCACAUUCUUCAAAACUGUUUUAAAUGCAAAAUAUUGAUGAUGCAAUUACAAGGAAGAACUGUUGAAUACAUUUUAAAAGUUCUGGUCCAUCUAUUGAUUGGUACUGAUGGAGCUUUCCCAUAGUGCUUAAUUCCAAAAAGCAAAAUAUAUGAUUGGAUACUGAAUAACAGCUAACAUUUGGAUCAAAAUUUUAACAGAUGAACAGUGCAUUCAUAUGUGGAAGAGGUAACCAUGGCAAGAAAUUUCAUCAACUUUAGUUACAUUAAUUCUCAAGGGCGUCAGUUAACAUGACUAUGGGAAGCCGGUAGUUGCAUAUUACAAAGAGUUAGAGGGCCAAAAGGUCUCCAAUUACAUGGAUGGGAUAUCUCUGAGUAGACAUACAAAAGACUGCAGUGUGAACCAAUCUCUUAUUUUUACCCCAAUCUACUGGUAAAUACCAUCCAUCAACAUGAAGGAAAUCUUGGAAAAAGGCAGAAAGGAAAAAAAGACUUUGGAAGUUUAUUCUUUGAUAAAUUUAAACUGAAAGUGAUGACUUUGCUACUAACAUUUUCCUAGAUGUACAAAAAUCUAUUCACAGACAAGUCUGUGUAUACUCUAAGACAUUAAAUUAGAGCUACAUGAGAGUGACAGAAGAUGAAGUUUCUAUUCAAAGAGCAAAGUCCAAUAAUCAUUUUGGUAAAGCAAUAGCCUGUUCUGGUUAAUGAGUUCAAAGAUAGAGUCUUCCUCUAGAAAAUUACAAUACAGAUAACGCAUACAAUUACAAUACAAGAGGGGCUAUUUGUUAGUAACUAGCAUCUAAAACAGAAUUUUUAUAGUAAAAACACAUAGAAACUAAAAUCAGUUGCAUUUUUUAAAACUGGAAAAAUGGAGUCAACUCUUAAGCAUAAAAGUGGUAAUUCGUUUUUUUUAAAAACAAUUUGUUUUGGUAAAUGAAGCCAGUUCUUUUAGAACCCAAAGGGCAGA